AUACGGAGGAUCCGAGCGUUAUCCGGAUUUAUUGGGUUUAAAGGGCGCGCAGGCGGCCAUUUAAGUCAGCGGUUAAAUCGUGGGGCUCAACCCCAUUCUGCCGUUGAUACUGGGUGGCUUGAUUGCGGUCGAGGUUGGCGGAAUUCGUUGUGUAGCGGUGAAAUGCAUAGAUAUGACGAAGAACACCGAUUGCGUAGGCAGCUGACCAGACCGCAAAUGACGCUCAUGCACGAAAGUGCGGGGAUCGAACAGGAUUAGAUACCCUGGUAGUCCGCACAGUAAACGAUGAAUACUUGUUUUCGGCGAUAUAAUGUCGGAGGCAAAGCGAAAGCGAUAAGUAUUCCACCUGGGGAGUACGCCGGCAACGGUGAAACUCAAAUGAAUUGACGGGG
rnacentral:rRNA from 1 species